UGACGUCAUCACGCCGAGCCCUGAUUGGUUCUUAUUGGAAGGAUAGGGAGAAGACCUCAAUUUUAGCUGGCUUGAGCUCUACUCACUAUCCUUCCAAUCAGAGCGAAUCAGAGCUCGGCGUGAUGACGUCAC
rnacentral:pre_miRNA from 1 species